rnacentral:rRNA from 1 species
UACGUAGGGGGCGAGCGUUGUCCGGAAUGACUGGGCGUAAAGGGCGCGUAGGCGGCCUUGUAAGUUUGGCGUGAAAGGCCUGCUUUUAAGGCAGGUAUUGCGUCGGAAACUGCAGGGCUUGAGUGCAGGAGAGGAAAGUGGAAUUCCCAGUGUAGCGGUGAAAUGCGUAGAGAUUGGGAGGAACACCAGUGGCGAAGGCGACUUUCUGGACUGUAACUGACGCUGAGGCGCGAAAGCGUGGGGAGCAAACAGG